UUCUUGGACCAUAAACACCUUUGAUCUUGGUGUUUCUUUGUGUUUUCUUGAUGUAAAUAAGUGUAUCAAUCCUUAACAUACUCUAGGAUAGAAGUACUUACAAUAUAGAAGCUUGAAAAGGUCCAAAAGUGCAAGAACACUAGUGUGCGUUCUUUGUGUUCUUGGUGAAACUUGAAGAAUCAACCUUUUGGAAAGAUUUCAUGGAUAAAAGUGUGUUAAAUCACUAGAUUAAGUGAUAUACUAACUUAAAAGGGAUAGAAAAACUUACUAGAUGAAGAUCUUGAAGAAUUGUUUGGAUGAUACUUGGGAGAGUUUGAGUUUUUGUUCUUAAAAGUUGGAGAAAUGGUAAAAAUAACUAAGUGUCACCUUUAUACCUCUUUCCUUUAGGGUUUACGGAUGNAUUGAGUUUACGGUCGUAAAAUCAUGAUUUUACGGUCGUAAACUCAUGCUUCCUUGACUAUGAGUUGUUUUGAAGCUCUACAAGUCCUUAGAAGCAUUACCACUUGAAGUAUAAGCCUAUGGAAGAAGUUAGGGCACCAUUUCACUUUUAAAUGGAGUUUACGGUCCUAAGACCAUUUCCCUUUGGGUUUACGGUCGUAAAGCCCAAUGGAUUAUGGUAUUUUGAUGUUUUCAAGUCCUUAACAUAUCAAUGAAGGGAUCCAUGAUAGUUACAAAGGCGUAGGAAGGGACUAGGGCCACUUUGGCCCCUUAUUUAGGGUUUAUGGUCCAAGGUGUUCUUGGACCAUAAACACCUUUGAUCUUGGUGUUUCUUUGUGUUUUCUUGAUGUAAAUAAGUGUAUCAAUCCUUAACAUACUCUAGGAUAGAAGUACUUACAAUAUAGAAGCUUGAAAAGGUCCAAAAGUGCAAGAACACUAGUGUGCGUUCUUGGUGUUCUUGGUGAAACUUGAAGAAUCAACCUUUUGGAAAGAUUUCAUGGAUAGAAGUGUGUUAAAUCACUAGAUUAAGUGAUAUACUAACUUAAAAGGGAUAGAAAAACUUACUAGAUGAAGAUCUUGAAGAAUUGUUUGGAUGAUACUUGGGAGAGUUUGAGUUUUU
rnacentral:lncRNA from 1 species